GCCCCUCCGCCGACGGCCACCGCGCGGGAGGGGCGGGGCCUGCCGCCGCCACCGCCUCAGGGAAGAGGAAGGAGGCCGCGGCUUCGCGUCCCGCCUCUCGCCUGGCUGGCCGUGGGGGGCCUGGACGCAGUGGCCUCCCGAAUCUCCCAGGACCCUAAUGUCGCCCGAGGAUGCUGGGAGGAACACUGAGCCGACCUCUCCGUUAGGCUGAAGAUUGCACAAACCAUGCUAAUGGCCAGCAUGGGUGGAGGGAGCGUGUGAGAUGUGUGGGGCGGCGUGCUGCAUCUCAGCCAACUCCAGGAGCCUGUUGAUGUGAUGGACUACCUUAAUUGAUUUUUAAAUGUUGAGCCAGCCUUAUGCAUGUGGGAUAAACCCCUGUUGAUCAUGGCUGGCUGGAGUGCAGUGGUGCAAUCAUGGCUCACUGCAACCUCAAAUUCCUGGGCUCAAGGGAUCCUCCUGCCUCAGCCUCCCAAGUAGCUAGGACCACAGUUCCUGCUGGAAUCUUGCUGUUGCCCAUUCAAGUCUGAUGGUUCCUGUGUGUUGGGGUGGCCUUGCUUCUCCUGCUCUUAGCUCUGGAGGAGCCCUCGGCUGGUGCUGCAGUGAAUCUGUCAGAGUCGUCCUAACCAGAGUGCCCCCAUCCUGAAUAGAGGCUGGAUAAAGCCAAACCUGCUGGGUUAUAGUCCCAGGGGAUUGGGCAGUCCUGGUCACAAGAUAUUUAAGGUUGAGGGAAUAAGUUAAUGAUGCUAAGUAAAUAAAGACCCUGAAUUCUUUCCCGUGAGAGAUCCAAGAACUCACUCUUGGCAUCUGGGAUAAGACCCUUUUUCCGGUAACAAACCCCUGCCCUGGCCCUUUCUUCCUUCUGGAAAACUCAAAAAAAAAAAAUAGGCCUCAAAAAGACUGCAUUAAUCUGAGAAGAAACCGCUGAAUAUGGCUACUAAGAGAAGCUGGGAUUUUCUGAUUUUUAAUGUCGGUUUCAAAGAGAGCAGGUAUACUUUGCAGGAGGGAACCAUGCUAGCUGCAGAAUCAUGGAUGAGCUGGACCACAAGUUUUUACACAGUGUGCAUGCUUUUGUUCUCCUGUCAACUUCUGUUGUUUUCCUGUCAACUUCUGUUGUUUUCAUCAAAAGCCAUCAACCCGCCUCAGCCAGGGCAUCAUAAUGUACAUGCAACAGAGUGUUCCAAGAAACUUUCAGCUGAGACCCUAAGACCCUGGACACGCAAUGCCAGAGUGAAGUGUGAAGACCACAGCUGUGCAGGACAUGCAGAAAGGAGGGGCAGAGAGCCAAUGAGAUGAUGUCCCACGACUCACCUGUGUCAGUGGAGACCGAAGGAGACUUGGAGGGUGCUUUUGGAGAGAACUGCUGAUGUUUUGUGAGCCUCACUCUCUCUGUGUGUGGAAAUGCUGGAGGAUGAAACCGUCUAAACUCUCCUGAAGUCCCGGGAAUGGAGUUUUAAUGGUAAUGUGUGAUGGGAUGUGUGUUCUCUUAUGGUAUGGGAGACACAGAGGACUCACAGAGGACUGGCCUCUGCCUCUUGACCAGGGAUCAGGAGAGAUGGGAACUGAGCUGGUCAGCUGCUCUUCAGAGCUGGUCGAGGAGAGAUUUCUGCUGUGCUGGGAGGGCCUAACAACAUGCAUGGAUGGAGCCCAAGGACCAGGUGCAGAUCUUAUGCAAGAAUGAACCAGGGGGUGACUUAGGUCCACCAAAAGACUGCCCAGAGGGACAAAAGGCUAUCAGUGAAAAGAAUCCACAGAUGAACUGCCAGUUCCUCAGGGCUGAGGCAAGAUCUUAAUUUUGAGUAGGAGCAGAGUGUAUUACCUACGACAAGGAUACCACAGAUGAGAAAACCCUAGUUUUAAACCUGCUACAUCCAAAGAGAGCAAUGCAACUCUGGCACUAGCAAAAAUGUUGUGCCUCUCCUUUCCUCACUCCUAAUUUCCCAUCCCAGAGAAGGGUCAGAAACCAUCUUCUGCAAGAUGGGAGGAAGGGUAUCAGCCAGACUGCAAAAAGGGAGAAGAAACCAGCUACCUCUUGCUGUUCUCAGUGGCAGACUCCCCACCUGCAACAGGUCAGGUCUGUUACUGGAGAGAAAAGACAGGACAUUUUUAAAUUCUAGGUAUAGAGCAAUAAAAGAAGAAUUCAAGCAAAGGGAUCAGGAAGAGGAUUGCUACUAAGAGGCAGAGAAACCAAUGAAGCCUUUUGCCAUCUCACACUAGAAAGACAAAAAGUCAUAGAGGCUUGAUUUUUAUAAGGAAAGAGAAGUGAGAAACUGACCUCGAUACUUUGUUGGACUUGCCUGAAGACAUUUGCUGAAUUCUCAGGCUGUGCUGGGAUGGAGAUUAGAGGCCAAAUAAAAACCUCUGGUAAGUAGUGCACAGGUUUUGGUAAUCACUUAUUGCUGAAAAGGGAGGUAUUAGAUGUCAGGCCUCCAUAAGUCCUCAGGUGAAACACCUAGAUACUAUGACCGAAGAGUCAGGAUUGAUCUAGAAGUAAACUGAACCUAUAGUCAUCUCAGUCUCGAAUGGGAACAAAGCAUUAAUAGCCUACUUGAUCUGCUAGCAAAGGAAAUAGUAAUCACUGAAGGAAGAUAAGAUAAAAUCAUCCACAACCCCUAAACAUUUUUAUACACAAUGUGCGACAUUUAAUAAAAAGUUGCCAGGCAUGGCACACCUUAUGACUGAAAAAUAACAAUAGAAAAACCACAGUAAAAACAGUUUCAAGGAAAGCCAAAUAUUAGAAUUAUUAGAAAAAUAAUUUAAGAUAGCUAUGAUUAAUAUGUCAAGAUAAUAGAGAAAAAUGGAGAAUUUUACUAGAAAAUUUGAAUCCAUAAAAUAGAAAUACUGGAACUGAAAAAUUCAAAAACUGAAAUUAAGUACUCAGUAAAAGAGUUUAACAGCACAUUAGCCAUACAAGACCAAAAUAGUAGUGAACUAGAAGAAAAGUGAAUAGAAAAUAUGCAAACUGAAGCAUAAUGUUUAAAAAGAGUGGGUAAUAUAGAAAAGAGAGUACUGUGUACUUUUGAAAUUAAAGUCUCCAAAAGAGAAAAGUACAAGAAUGGGUCAUGUAUCAGUUUGUUCUCAUGCUGCUAUAAAGAACUGCCUGAGACUGGGUAAUUUAUAAAGGAAAGAGGUUUAAUUGACUCACAGUUCUGCAUGGCUGGGGAAGCCUCAGGAAACUUACAAUCAUGGUGGAAGAGGAUGGAAACAUGUCCUUCUUCACAUGGUGGCAGGAAGAAGAAGAAUGAGAGAAGUGCAGAACAAAGGGGUGGGGGAAGCCCUUCACAAAACCAUCAGAUCUUGUGAGAACUCAUUCACUAUCACGAGAACAGCAUGGGGGAACUGCCCCCGUAAUUCAUUCACCUCCCAUGAGGUCCCUCUCUGAACAUGUGGGGAUUACAAUUCAGAUUAAAAUUCAAGAUGAGAUCUCGGUGAGGACACAGAGCCAAACCAUAUCAGAUCAGAAGCAAUAUUUUAAUAAAUAAUGGCUGCAAAAUUCUCUGAAAUUAAUGAAAGACAGGCCUCAGAUUCAAGCCUACAAACCCAAAGUAAGAUGAAUUUUAAAAAUACAACCUAAGCACAUUAUAGCCAAACUGUUAAAACCAAAGACAAGUGAAAAUCUUUCAGGCAGUUAGAUUUUAAGAAAAGCAUAGUAGUUGUAAAAACAACAAAAGACUUAAAUUCACUCCUCAGCUGAGAUGAUGGAAGAUGGAAGACAAUGAAGUAACAUUUAAAAAGUGCUGAAAGAGUUGGGUGUGGUAGCUCACACCUGUAAUCUCAGCUACAUGGAAGGAUGAGGCAGGAGUAUCACUUGAGCCCAGGAAUUUGAGACCAGCCUGGGGAACUUAGACCACAUUUCUAAAAAAAAAGAAAAAGAAAAAAUAUGAAAAGCACCUUUUGCUGAAAGAAAAUAAUUGCCCAUCUAGAACUCUGUACCAAGCAAAAAUACUAUUCAAAAAUGAAGGCAAAUUGAAGACAUUUCUAGAUAAACAAGAGUGAAAAUAUUCAUCAUUAGCAGAUGUGAACUAAAAGAAAUACUAAAAGGAUUUCUGCAGACAAAAGAAAAAUGGUCCCACACAGAAGCAUGGAAACAUGAGAAAAUAAUAAAGAAAAAUAAAAAGAGAUGAUAUGAGGGUAAAUGUAAGUAAAUAUUCACCAUAUAUGUCAAUAAUUUAAUGUCUUAUGGGGAUUAAAAUGUAGAAUGAAUAUAGGAGCAGAAAAAUAUAAAACAGAUGUUCACUAGAAAAAAUAAACAAAACCCAAAGUGUAUUAUUUGAAAAGAACAAUAAAAUUGAUAGGUCCUUUAGCAUGACGUCAUAAAUAGAAGCAAAGACACAAAUUUUCACUAUUAGGAAGAAAAAUGAAACAUCCAUCAAGUUAUAUAGAUAUCGAAUAGAUAAUAAGGAAUAUAAUCAAUAAUUAUGUCAUUUAAAAUUGUGGUGAAACUGAGAAAUCCCUAGAAAAACAAAGCCUACCAAAAUGGAUACAAAGAGAAACAAAAAUUCAUACAUCUAUUUUAAAAACCUAACCUAUAAUUAAAAACGUUCACACAAGUAAAACUCCAGAUUCAAUGGUUUCACCGGUGAUUUCUUUUAAACAUUAAAUGAAGAAAUAACAAUCUUACAUAAAUUCUCUUAGGGGAUAGAAAGAGGAAACACUUCUCCACUUUUUUGUAAGGCCAAUAUGAUCUUUAUUCUAAAACAUACAAGAAAGGAAAAUUAUAGGCCAAUUUCUAGAAGAAAAUGCUUUUUAAAAUUACCAAAUAAGAAAGACUAGUACAUCACAACAAGUCAGGGUUAAUUUCAAUAAUGCAAUGUUAGUUUCCCACUUAAAAAUCAAUCAACAUGAUUGCUGGCAAGGUGGCCAAAUAGGAACAGCUCCAGUCCACAGCUCCCAGUGAGAUAGACGCAGAAGGCGGGUGAUUUUGCAUUUCCGACUGAGGUACCCGGUUUAUGUCACUGGGACUGGUUGGACAGUGGGUGCCAGCUGAAGCAGAGUGGGGCAUUGCCUCACCUGGGAAGCACAAGGGGUUGGGGAAUUCCCUGCCCUAGCCAAGGAAAGCUGGGAGGGACUGUGAACAGUGCACUCCAGCCUAGAUAAUGCACUCUCCCCAUGGUCUUUGCAACCUGCAGACCAGGAGAUUCCCCCCAGUGCCUACACCACCAGGACCCUGGGUGUCAAACACAAAACUGGAUGGCUAUUUGGGCAGACACUGAGCUAGCUGCAGGAAUUUUUUUUUUUUUUCAUACUCCAGUGGCACCUGGAACACCAACGAGACAGAACCAUUCACUCCCCUGGAAAGGGUGCUGAAGCCAGGGAGCCAAGUUGUCUGGCUCGGUGGGUCCCACCCCCACAGAGCGCAGCAAGCUGAGAUCCACUGGCUUGAAAUUCUCACUGCCAGCACAGCAGUCUGAGGUCGACCUGGGAUGCUCGAGCUUGGUGCGGGGAGGGGCAUCCACCAUUGCUGAGACUUGAGUAGGUGGUUUUACCCUCACAGUGUAAACAAAGCUAUCAGGAAGUUCAAACUGGACAGAGACCACCGCAGCUCAGCAAGGCCACUGUGGCCGGACUGCCUCGCUAGAUUCCUCCUCUCUGGGCAGGGCAUCUCUGAAACAAAGGCAGCAGCUCCAGUCAGGGGCUUAUAAAUAAAACCCCCAUCUCCCUGGGACAGAGCACCUGGGGGAAGGGGUGGCUGUGGGCACAGCUUCAGCUGACUUAAACGUCCUGCCUGAUGACUCUGAAGAGAACAGCAGAUCUCCCAGUAUAGUGCUUGAGCUCUGCUAAGGGUCAGAUUGCCUCCUUAAGUGGGUCACUGACCCCCAUGUCUCCUGACUGGGAGAUACCUCCCAGUAGAGGUCGACAGACAUCUCCUACAGGAGAGCUCUGGCUGGCAUCUGGCAGGUGCUCCUCUGGGAUGAAGCUUGCAGAGGAAGGAACAGGCAGCAAUCUUUGCUGUUCUGCAGCCUCUGCUGGUGAUACCCAGGAAAACAGGGCCUGGUGCAAACCUCCAGCAAACUCCAGCAGACCUGCAGCAAACGGGCCUGACUGUUAGAAUGAAAACUAACACACAGAAAGGAAUAGCAUCAACAUCAAUAAAAAGGACGUCCACUCAGAGACCCCAUCCAAAGGUCACCAACAUCAAACACCAAAGGUUGAUAAAUCCAUGAAGAUGGGAAGAAACCAGUGCAGAAAGGCUGAAAAUUCCAAAAAGCAGAAUGCCUCUUCUCCUCCAAAGGAUCACAACUCCCUGCCAGGAAGGGAACAAAACUGGAUGGAGAAUGAGUUUGACAAAUUGACAGAAGUAGGCUUCAGAAGGUGGAUAAUAACAAACUCCUCCGAGCUAAAGGAGCAUGCUCUAACCCAAUGCAAGGAAGCUAAGAACCUUGAAAAAAGGUUAGAUGAAUUGCUAACUAGAAUAACCAGUUUAGCGAAGAACAUAAAUGACCUAAUGGAGCUGAAAAGCACAGCACGAGAACUUUAUGAAGCAUACACAAGUAUCAAAAGCCAAAUUGAUCAAGCAGAAGAAAGGAUAUCAGAGAUUCAAUAUCAAUGAAGUAAAGCAAGAAGACAAGAUUAGAGAAAAAAGAAUGAAAAGGAAUGAACAAAGCCUCCAAGAAAUAUGAGAGUAUGUGAAAAGACCAAAACUACAUUGGAUUGGUGUACCUGAAAGUGACAGGGAGAAUGGAACCAAGUUGGAAAACACUCUUCAGGAUAUUAUCCAGGAGAACUUCCCCAACCUAGCAAGACGGGCCAACAUUCAAACUCAGGAAAUACAGAGAACGCCACAAAGAUUCCCCUCCAGAACAGCAACCCCAAGACACAUAAUCAUCAGAUUCACCAAGGUUGAAAUGAAGGGAAAAAUGUUAACUACAGCCAGAGAGAAAGGUCUGGUUACCCACAAAGGGAAGCCCAUCAGACUAACAGCAGAUCACUCAGCAGAAAUCCUAUAAGCCAGAAGAGAGUGGGGGCCAACAUUCAACAUUCUCAAAGAAAAUAAUUUUCAACCCAGAAUUUCAUAUCCAGCCAAACUAAGCUUCAUAAGUGAAGGAGAAAUAAAAUCCUUUACAGACAAGCAAAUGCUGAGAGAUUUUGUCACCACCAGGCCUGCCUUACAAGAGCUCCUGAAGGAAGCACUAAACAUGGAAAGGAACAACCAGUACCAGCCACUGCAAAAACAUACCAAAUUGUAAAGACCAUCAACACUACAAAGAAACGGCAUCAACUAAUGGACAAAAUAACCAGCUAACAUCAUAAUGACAGGAUCAAAUUCACACAUAGCAAUGUUAACCUUAAAUGUUAAUGGGCUAAUUGCCCCAAUUAAAAGACACAGACUGGCAAAUUGGAUAAAGGGUCAAGACCCAUUGGUGUGCUGUAUUCAGGAGACCCAUCUCAUGUGCAAAGACACACAUAGGCUCAAAAUAAAGGGAUGGGGGAAUAUUUACCAAGUAAAUGGAAAGCAAAAAAAAGCAGGGGUUGCAAUCCUAGUCUCUGAUAAAACAAACUUUAAACCAACAAAGAUCAAAAGAGACAAAGAAGGGCGUUACAUAAUGGUAAAGGGAUCAUGCAACAAGAAGAGCUAACUAUCCUAAAUAUAUAUGCUCCCAAUACAGGAGCACCCAGAUUCAUAAAGCAAGUUCUUAGAGACCUACAAAGAGACUUAGGCUCCCAUACAAUAAUAGUGGGAGACUUUAAUACCCCAUUGUCAAUAUUAGACAGAUCAACGAGACAGAAAAUUAAAAAGAAUAUUCAGGACUUGAACUCAGCUCCGGAACAAGCGGACCUAAUAGACAUCUACUGAACUCUCCACCCCAAAUCAACAGAAUAUACAUUCUCAGCACCACCUUGCACUUAUUCUAAAAUUAACCACAUAAUUGGAAGUAAAACAUGCCUCAGCAAAUGCAAAAGAAUGGAAAUCAUAACAGUCUCUCAGACCACAGUGCAAUCAAAUUAGAACUGCAAAUAAAGAACUGCAGAUUAAGACACUCACUCAAAACCGCACAAGUACAUGGAAACUGAACAACCUGCUCCUGAAUGACUACUGGGUAAGUAACGAAAUUAAGGCAGAAAUGAAGAUAUUCUUUGAAACCAAUGAAAACAAAGACACAAAGUACCAGAAUCUCUGGGACACAUUUAAAGCAGUGGUUAGAGAGAAAUUUAUAGCACUAAAUGCCCACAAGAGAAAGAAGGAAAGAUCUAAAAUUGACACUCUACCAUCAAAAUUAAAAGAACUAGAGAAGCAAGAGCAUACAAAUUCACAAGCUAGCAGAAGGCAAGAAAUAACUAAGAUCAGAGCAGAACUGAAGGAGAUAGAAACACAAAAUAAAAUCUUCAAAAAAAUCAAUGAAUCCAGGAGCUGGUUUUUUUUAAAAGAUCAACAAAAUAGAUAAAUUGGUAGCCAGACUAAUAAAGAAGAAAAGAGAGAAGAAUCAAAUAGAUGCGAUAAAAAAUAAUAAAGGGGAUAUCACCACUGAUCCCACAGAAAUACAAACUACCAUCAGAGAAUACUAUAAACACCUCUACGCAAAUAAACUAGAAAAUCUAGAAGAAAUGCAUAAAUUCCUGGACACAUACACGCUCCUAAGACUAAACCAGGAAGAAGUGGAAUUCCUGAAUAGACCAAUAACAAGUUCUGAAAUUGAGGCAGUCAUUAAUAGCCUACCAACCAAAAAAAGUCCAGGACCAGACAGAUUCACAGCCAAAUUCUACCAGAGGUACAAAGAGGAGCUGGUACCAUUCCUUCUGAAACUAUUCCAAACAAUAGAAAAAGAGGGAAUCCUCCCUAACUGAUUUUAUGAGGCCAGCAUCAUUCUGGCACCAAAACCUGGCAGAGACACAACAAAAAAAGAAAAUUACAGGUGAAUAUCCUUGAUGAAAAUCGAAACGAAAAUCCUCAAUAAAAUACUGGCAAACCAAAUCCAGCAGCACAUCAAAAAGCUUAUCCACCAAGAUCCAGUUGGCUUCAUCCCUGGGAUGCAAGGCUGGUUCAACAUAUGCAAACCAAUAAACGUAAUCCAUCACAUAAACAGAACCAAUGACAAAAACCACACGAUUAUCUCAAUAGAUGCAGAAAAGGCCUUUGACAGAAUUCAACAGCCUUCAUCCUAAAAACUCUGAAUAAACUAGGUAUUGAUGGAACAUAUCUCAAAAUAAUAAGAGCUAUUUAUGACAAACCCACAGCCAAUAUCAUACUGAAUGGGCAAAAACUGGAAGCAUUCUCUUUGAAAACCAGCACGAGACAAGGAUGCCCUCUCCUACCAAUCCUAUUCAACAUAGUAUUGGAAGUUCUGGCCAGGGCAAUCAGACCAGACGAAGAAAUAAAGGGUAUUCAAACAGGAAAAGAGGAAUUCAAAUUGUUCCUGUUUGCAGAUGACAUGAUUGUAUAUUUAGAAAACACCAUUGUCUCAGCCCCAAACCUCCUUAAGCUGAUAAACAACCUCAGCAAAGUCUCAGGAUACAAAAUCAAUGUGCAAAAAUCACAAGCAUUCCUAUACACCAAUAACAGAAAAACAGAGAACCAAAUCAUGAGUGAACUCCCAUUCACAAUUGCUACAAAGAGAAUAAAAUACCUAGGAAUAUAACUUACAAGGGAUUUCAAGGACCUCUUCAAAGAAAACUACAAACCACUCCUCAGGGAAAUAAGACAGGUCACAAAUAAAUGGAAAAACAUUCCAUGAUCAUGGAUAGGAAGAAUCAAUAUCCUGACAAUGACCAUACUGCCCAAAGUAAUUUAUAGAUUCAAUGCUAUCCCCAUCAAGCUACCGUUGACUUUCUUCACAGAAUUACAAAAAUCUGCUUUAAAUUUCAUAUGGAACCAAAAAAGAGCCCACAUAGCCAAGACAAUCCUAAGCAAAAAGAACAAAGCUGGAGGCAUCACGCUACCUGACUUCAAACUAUACUACAAGGCUACAGUAACCAAAACAGCAUAUUGGUACCAAAACAGAUAUAUAGACCAAUGGAACAGAACAGAGGCCUCAGAAAUAACACCACACAUCUACAACCAUCUGAUCUUUGACAAACCUGACAAAAACAAUGGGGAAAGGAUUCCCUAUUUAAUAAAUGGUGUUGGGAAAACUGGCUAGCCACAUGCAGAAAGCUGAAACUGGAUCGCUUCCUUGCACCUAAUACGAAAAUUAAAUCAAGAUGGAUUAAAGACUUAAACGUAAAACCUAAAACCAUAAAAACCCUAGAAGAAAACUUAGGUAAUACCAUUCAGUACAUAGGCAUGGGCAAAGGCUUUGUGACUAAAACACCAAAAGCAAUGGCAACAAAAGCCAAAAUAGACAAAUGGGAUCUAAUUAAAAUAAAGAGCUUCUGCACAGCAAAAGAAACUGUCAUCAGAGUGAACAAGCAACCUACAGAAUGGGAGAAAAUUUUUGCAAUCCAUCUGACAAAGGGCUAAUAUCUAGACUCUACAAAGAAUUUAAACAAAUUUACAAGAAAAAAACAACCCUGUCAAAAAGUGGGUAAAGGAUAUGAAUGGGAACUUUGUAAAAUUAGACAUUUAUGUGGCCAAAAAACAUAUGAAAAAUAGCUUAUCAUCACUGGUCAUUAGAGAAAUGCAAAUCAGAACCAAAUGAGAUACCAUCUCACGCCAGUUAGAAUGGCGAUCAUUAAAAAGUCAGGAAACAACAGAUGCUGGAGAGGAUGUCAAGAAAUAGGAACACUUUUACACUGUUGGUGGGAGUAUAAAUUAGUUCAACCAUUGUGGAAGACAGUGUGGUGAUUCCUCAAGAAUCUAGAACUAGAAAUAUCAUUUGACCCAGCAAUCCCAUUACUGGGUAUAUACCCAAAAGAUUAUAAAUCAUUCUACUAUAAAAACACAUGUACACGUAUGUUUAUUGCAUAAACAAUAUGCAGUAUUCACAAUAGCAAAGACUUGGAACCAACCCAAAUGCCCAUCAAUGAUAGACUGUGUAAAGAAAACGUGGCACAUAUUCACCAUGGAAUACUAUGCAGCCAUAAAAAAAAGGAUGAGUUCCUUACCUUUCCAGGGACAUGGAUGAAGCUGGAAACCAUCAUUCUCAGCAAACACAAGAACAGAAAACCAAACACCACAUUUUCUCACUCAUAAAUGGGAGUUGAACAAUGAGUACACAUGGACACAGGGAGGGGAACAUCACACACUGGGGCCUCUCAGGGGGCAGGGACUAGGGGAGGGAUAGCAUUAACAGAAAUACCUAAUACGGAUGACGGGUUGAUGGGUGCAGCUAACCAGCAUGGCACGUGUAUACCUACGUAACAAACCUGCAUAUUCUGCACAUGUACCCCAGAACUUAAAAGUAUAAUUAGAAAAAAAAAAGAAAAAAGAAAAAUCAACUUAAUUUAUCACAUAUAAAAAGAAGUGGGAGUAAGAGAAAUUUUCAGUCAACAACAUGUUGUACUUACAAAAAUUCAAAAGACCACAGAAAGAAUCUUAGAAUUAUAGUUAUUGGAAGUCCUAGCCAGAGCAAUCAGGCAAGAGAAAGAAAUAAAGGGCAUCCAAAUUGGAAAAGAGGAAGUCAAACUAUCCCUGGUUUCCGAUGAUACGACUGUGUACCUAGAAAACCCUAAAGACUCCUCCAAAAGACUUCUGUAUUUGAUAAAUGAAUUCAGUAAAGUUUCAGAUUACAAAAUCAGUGUACACAAAACAGUGGCACUGCUAUACACCAAAAACAACCAGGGUGAGAAUCAAAUCAAGAACUCAAUCCCUUUUACAAUAGCUGCAAAAGAAAAAAAAUACAUAAGAAGAUACUUAACCAAAGAGAUGAAAGAUCUCUACAAGGAUAACUACAAAACAUUGCUGAGAGAAAUUAUAGAUGACACAAACAAAUGGAAAUAUAUCCCAUAUUCAUGGAUUGAAAGGAUCAAUAUCGUGAAAAUGACCAUAUUGCCCAAAGCAAUCUACAGAUUCAAUGUAAUUCUUAUCAAAAUACCACAUCGUUUUCCACAGAAUUAGGAAAUUGAUCCCAAAAUUGAUAUGGAUCCAAAAAAGAGCCUGAAUAGCAAUCCUAAACAAAAAGAACAAAUCUAGAGUUAUCACAUUACUCAAACUUCAAAUUAUACUAUAAGACUAUAGUAACCGAAACAGCAUGGUACUUGUAUAAAAGUAAAUACAUAGACCAAUGGAACACAGUAGAGAACCCAAAAAUAAAGCCAUGCACUUACAACCAACUGAUUUUUGACAAAGCAUACAAAAACAUAAAUUAGGGGAAGGAUACCCUAUACAAUAAAUGGUGCUGGGCAAACUGGAUGCCCACAUGUAGCAGAAAGAAACUGGAUCCCUAUCUCUUAUCAUGUACAAAAAUCAACUCAAGAUGAAUUGAAGUCUUAAAUCUAAGACUUGAAGCCAUAAAAAAUCUAGAAGAAAACCUAGGAAAACCUAGAAUUUAUGACUAAGAUGCCUAAAGCAAAUACAACAAAAGCAAAAAUAAAUAAAUGAGACCUAAUUAUAACUAAAAAUCUUCUGCAUAGCAAAAAUAAUAAUCAGAGUAAACAGACAACCCACAGAAUGGGAGAAAAUAUUUGAAAACUAUGCAUCCAACAAAGGAUUAAUAUCCAGAAUCUACAAGGAACUCAAACAAAUCAGUAAGAAAAAAACAAAUAAUCCCAUCAAAAAUUGGGCAAAUGACAUUUCUCAAAAGAAGAUGUACAAAUGACCAAAAAACAUGAAAAAAUGCUCGACAUCAUUAAUCAUCAGGAAAAUGCAAAUUAAACUACAAUGAGAUACCAUCUUACCCCCGCCAGAAUGGCCAUUAUUGAAAAGUCAAAAAACAACAAAUGUUGGCAUUGAUGUGGUGAGAGGGGAAUGAUGUUUUUUUGUUGUUUUUCGUUUUGAGAUAGGGUCUCACUCUGUCACCCAGACUGGAGUGCAGUGGCAUGAACAUGGUUCACUGCAGUCUCAAGCUCCUGGGCUCAAGUGAUGCUCCCACCUCAGCCUCCCAAGUAGCUGGGACUAUGGGUAUGUGCCACCAUGCCUGGCUAAUUUAAAAAAAUUUUUUUUUUGUAGAGACAGGGUCUCACUAUGUUGCCCAGGUUGGCCUUGAACUCCUGGGUUCAAGUGAUCCUCCCACCUCAGCCUCCCAAAGUGCUGGGAUUACAGUCAUGAGCCACUUCACCCAACUACAAAUGCUUAUACACUACUGGUGGAAAUGUAAAUUAGUACUAUAAAAAUAGCGUGGAGAUUUCUCAAACAACCAAAAGUAGAUCUAGUCCAGGCGCGGUGGCUCACGCCUGUAAUCCUAGCAUUUUGGGAGGCCAAGGCAAGAGGAUUGCUUGAUCCCUGGAGUUCCCGACUAGCCUGGGCAACAUGGUGAGACCAUGUCAAUACAAACAAAUAAGUAAAAUAUUAGCCACAGGAGUUGCCAGCCUGUGGUCCCAGCUAGGAGAUGAGCUGUGGUCUCAGGAGGCUGAGGUGGGAGGAUUGCUUGAGUUCAGGAGGUAGAGGCUGCACUGAGCCAUUUUCAUGCCACUGCACUCCAGCCUCAGUGACAGACUGAGUCCUUGUCUCAAAAAAAAAAAAAAAAAAAAAAGAUCUACCAUUUGAUCCAGCAAUCCCACUACAGGGUAUCUACCCAAAGGAAAAGAAGUCAUUAUUUCAAAAAAAGACACCUGCACACAUAUGUUUAUUGCAGCACAAUUCACAAUUGCAAAGAUAUGGAACCAACCUAAGUGUUCAUCAGCUGAUGAAUGGAUAAAGAAAACGUGGUAUAUAUACACCAUCGAGAACUACUCAGCCACGAAAAAAUGAAAUGAUGUCUUUUGCAGCAACUUGGAUGGAGCUGGAGGUCAUUAUUCUAAGUGAAGUAACUCAGGAAUGGAACAAAUACCGUAUUUUCUCACUUAUAAAUGGGAGCUAAGCUAUGGGUAUGCAAAGGCAUACAGAGUGGUAGAAUGGACAUUGGAGACUGAGAAGGGGGAGGGGUGAAAUGAGGAUAAGGGAUAAAAAACUGCAUAUUGGGUACAGUGUCCACUACUCAGGUGACAGUACAUUAAACUCUCAGACUUUCAACUAUACAAUUAAUCCAUGUAACCAAAAACCACUUGUACCCCUAAAGCUAUUGAAAUUUAAAAAGAAAAAAAAGAAUUAUAGUUAUUAAUGUAGAAUAACUAUAAGUAAAUUUAACAAUUUUGUGAAAUGAGAUCAACAUACAAAAAAUCAAUUUUUUAAAUAUUAGCAACAAAGUAACAAAAAAAGAAAUAAGGAAGAUGAUAUUACUUACAAAAAAUUAAAAACCUUAGAAUAAAUCUAAUCAAAGAUAUAAAAGAUCUUUUUAAGUAGCUGUAAAUAAAUGGAGGGUUAUAUCAUGUUAAUGGGUUGGAAGACUCACGAUUGUAAAGAUUUUAGUUCCCCCCAAAUCGAUAGAUUUAAUCUAAUCCUAAUCAAACUCCCAGCAGGUUUAUAUAAAAAUAAGCUGAUUCUAAAAUAUAUAUAAAAACAAAUGUGCCACAUAUUGCAAAGGUGUGCUUGAAGAAGAUUUAUAGAUAUUACUACUAGAUUCUAAAACUUAAAGUGAUCGUAAUUAAGACAGUGUGGUAUUAGCACAGAUAGGCAAGCUGACUAGAUAACAGAAUAGAAAAUCCAGAAAUGACCACUAUUGAUUUUUUUUAUAAAGGUGUUAUUGUAGUGCAGUGGGUAUGGUCUUCCCAAUAAAUGGUGCUGUGUCAAUCAGAUAUCUAUAAGUAAAAUACAUGUAUCCAGAACGCUUCUUCUUUACAAAAACCACAAGAAGGAUUUUAGACCUAAUAUAACAGAUUAAACUAACAAAGCUUUCAGAAGAAAGCAUAAGAGAAUAUCUUUAUGACUUUGGGGUUGGCAAAGACUUCAUUAAAAAAGUAUUCAUCACACUUUAUUGAUACAUUGAAAAAUUGGGCUCCAAGAAAAAUAAGAGCUGCUGUUUCUCAAAAGACACCAUAAUGGGAGCAAAGGCAAACGACACACUUGAAGUAAAUAUUUGCAGAGUAUACACUUGGCAAAGGACUUGUAUUCUGAAAAGGAUUUAGGUAACAGGAAGGAGCUCCUUACAGUAGGGAAUCCAUUCAGAAGUUCAAACUGGUUUAGAGACACCUUGAUUUAACACAAUCACACUUCGGGCUCUCAAAUGACUCCAGCUCACCCACCUUAUGUAUACAUAUGUGUGUAUGGGUGGGGGGGGGAUGGUCACACUAUACUAAAAUGAAAGUAGUUGGAGCUCCAUCGCCUUAUUCCUCUAUUUCUAUGAAUUCUCCUGGUCUUUGCCCUUUGUUUCCUGUGCCCCUACUAAAUGCCAUCUCAGUUUAUCCUUCCUCCUGUUUCCACCUCUCCUCUUCCCAACUAAUGUGGGAUAUAGCAUUGGUUUUUGUGUUGUUCUAAAUUCCCACAAACUAUCACUAACAUAUGGUAGUUGUGUAGUGCACCCCUGUACCAAAAAGCUUCUUUGGAGGCAGUGGCAGGGGCGGGCAGGGGCAGUGGUAAUGAGGAUAAGCAAGCACCAAUAGUUAGACUUCCUUGUUCUCAUUUCCUCAGUCACUCUCAUCUCCCCAACCCGCUUUCGCACCAUGGGUUCCAGUUUACUGGGUUGCAAGGUCCUAUCCCUCUAUCUGAAAGUUUUUUCAGGAAACUCCAGAUUCUUUUUUUUUUUUAGACAGAGUUUCACUCUUAAUUCUUUAUCAUGUAGACUAAACCAUUUAGCUUUCUUUGUCUCACUCCUCUGCCUUUUGUGAUCACGUCCUGUGGCUGAUCUUUCAGCAAACUCCAUUGACUUAUUUCACCAAACAAAGGAGAGGCGUCUAGAUAGGGAUUUGGGGACUAUCUUAAAGAAUUAUUCUUUAAAAUCCCAAAUUGAAUUCAUUAACGUAAGACACACCCUUCUCUCCUCCCAACCUGGUUCUUACACCAAGUUCUUCCUUUUGUUUUUAAAAUUUUUCCAGGGGGUUCACACUGCAUUGUCUAGGCUUGUUAGAAACUAUGGGUUCUUGGGCUCUCAAUGCAAUAGAAACUGACAUGAGGCCCAAAGAGUUUUCCUGAGACUUCACUGGAGCUUAUGCAUGGGCAUAAGGGAGGCAGCACAAGAGAGAGAGAAUUCCCUCACUGACUCUUUGAAAAGGUUGGGAUUUUUAUUAGGCAAAGUGCAAGAAUUGAUGUUGGGGGUAGGGUAUACAGGCUGGGCUGGGUAAAGCACGUGAGGGGUAGGGUAUAGAGGUCUGCACAUCUGGUUGUGAUGGUUGUAUUGAGUAAUGGGCCAACUGGCGGUCUCACCCGUGGCAACAAGGCUGUAAAUCAAUUGUUCAGCUUUUGAUUUUACAAGCUUAUGGGUGGAGAGCACUUACCUUGUCUCAAAGAGACUUUGGACUUGGACUUUUGGGUUAAUGCUGGAAUGAAUUAAGACUUCGAGGGAGUGUUGGGAAGGCAUGAUUGGUCUUGAAAUGUGAAAAAGACCUGAGAUUUGGGAGGGGCCAGGGGCAGAAUGAUAUGGUUAGGCUUUGUGUCCCCACCCAAAUCUCAUCUUGAAUUGAAAUUUCCAUAAUACCUAUAAUCCCCACGUGCCAAAGGAGAGACCAGGUGGAUGUAAUUGAAUCAUGGGGGCAGUUCCUCCAUGCUGUUCUCACGCUAGUGGGUGAGUUCUCACAAGAUCUGAUGGUUUUAUAAGGGGCUUUUCCCCCUUUGCUCGGCAAUUCUCCUUCCUGCUGCCUUGUGAAGAAGGUGCCUGGAUUUCCCUUCACCUUCUGCCAUGAUUUUAAGUUUCCCGAGGCCUCCCCAGCCAUGCUGAACUGUGAGUCAAUUAAGCCUCUUUCCUUUAUAAAUUACCCAGUUUUGGGCAGUUCUUUUUUUUUGAGACGGUGUUCGAACCAAUACAAGAACCUUACAUUUACAAGUAAGUGUAGUCUGAAAGUAUUUCAUCUUCAAGUAGAUUCAUGAAAAUAACUGAUAGGUUCAGGUUUCUGGUAACUUUGUUAUACCUUGAAUUGGGUAAGGAUUUCCAGAACUCUGAUAAGGAAACUCUUGGGUUCAUAAAAUUGCUAGAACCAAAAUCUAGCAGAACAAGAAUUAGUUACAUGAGACUAAAUGAACUCAUGACAUUUUAUUUGAAUCAUUGCUGGUUUUGUUUUCCAGAUUUAAGGAAAUUUUUCUCUUUUCUCUUAGACUACCUAUUGCUUACAGCAGCUUGGUAGAUUACUCCUUUAUAAACAAAAUACAAUUACUUUUUCUCCCUACUUGACCCAUCCAGAAUUCAGAAGCUAUUAGUGACUGUCCUUUUUUCAUGGCAGUAAAGUUAUUUAUGUAAGUUCAAUAAGAAUCUGUUCUCUUCGUAACAAAACAUAAUUGGAAGCUUUGGUUUUAUAACCAAGGUUUUGACUGGAACGUCGUACUUGAGAAUGUGUAUAGAUCAGAUAUGACCAAGCGAUGCAGAAUUUUUGCUCCUUAGUUAAGCUAAAUCUGGAUUCUUGUGCCACGACCAGGAAAAAUUAGGCAUGUGGACACUCUGAAGGGUGAGGACAGUGGAAUAUAUUGGGCAAAAAGGAAAAAAAAAAAAAACUUUCAGCAAAGUGAGGGGUGUCCUGCCAAUGGCCUCCCACCUCUCAGAUUGAAUAUCCGGCCCCCACACAUGAGCCGAAGAGCCAGACUCCUCCCCCUGUGUAAGGUGCAAAUUCCUGGUCACUCCACCCCAUUCCUCCAGUGCACAUGUGGGCAUUAUUCAGAAAGAAUCAGUUGGGAAAGGGUGGGCAAACAGGGGCAGUUCUCCCUCUGGGUCGUGUUUUUCAUCUGGUACCAGCAGUCCAAUCUUUCAGCCUUCAGGCUGUUUUAGGCCUGAAGGUGGGGUUUCACUGGGGACUCUUCACUGUCUACUGUCUCUAUCACAAGCAGCUUCAAGAAACUAAGGUUGAGGCCCAAUGGCUCAUGCCUAUAAUGUAAUCCCAGCACUAUGGGAGGGUGAAGCACGUGGAUUGCUUGAGUUCAUGAGUUUUUGACCAACCUGAGCAACAUGGUGAAAACUCGUCUCUACAAAAAAAAAAAAAAAAAUACAAAAAAUUAGCCAGGCAUGGUAAGGCGCGCCUGUAGUCUUAGCUACUCAGGAGGCUGAGGUGGGAGGAUGGCUUGAGCCUGGGAGGCAGAGGAUGCAGAGAGGCGGAGGUUGCAGGCAGACAGAGGUUGUAGUGAGCUGAGAUGGCGCCUCUGCACUCCAGCCUUGGUGACAGAGCAAGACCCUGUCUCAAAAAAAAUAAAAACUUAAAAAAGAAACGAAGGUGGAUUUUAUAAUGCCAAUUAAUCUGUCUUCCCUUUGGAAAAACUGGACUGAUACCUGGCUUACAGGGUUCUGGGCCUUACAGGUGAGAAAAGAAUGUCACUUCCUGGCAGGCCCAGGACCCUAGGAUAUCUUGAGGAUCUCAACAAGGGAAGAAUUCAUCCAAAUCUGUAGGUAUUGUUACUGGAAAGGGGUACUAAUACAGACUCCAUUUAAUACAGACACAUUUAACGCAGUGUGUCAAGGGAACUUUAUAGCACUAAAUGCCCACAAGAGAAAGAAGGAAGGAUCUAAAAUUGGCACCCUAACAUCACAAUUAGAAGAACUAGAGAAGCAAGAGCAAACAAAUUCAAAAGCUAGCAGAAGGCAAGAAAUAACUAAGAUCAGAGCAGAACUGAAGGAGAUAGAGACACAAAAAACCCUUCAAAAAAUCACUGAAUCCAGGAGCUGUUUUUUUAAAAAGAUCAACAAAGUUGAUAGACUGCUAGUAAGACUAAUAAGAAAAGAGAGAAGAAUCAAAUAGACGCAAUAAAAAAUGAUAAAGGGGAUAUCUCCACCGAUCCCACAGAAAUACAAACUACCAUCAGAGAAUACUAUAAACACCUCUACUCAAAUAAACUAGAAAAUCUAGAAGAAAUAGAUAAAUUCCUGGACACAUACACCCUCCCAAGACUAAACCAGCAAGAAGUGGAAUCCCUGAAUAGACCAAUAACAGGCUCUGAAAUUGAGGCAAUAAUUAAUAGCCUAACAACCAAAAAAGUCCAGGACCAGACAGAUUCACAGCCGAAUUCUACCAGAGGUGCAAAGAGGAGCUGGUACCAUUCCUUCUGAAACUAUUCCAAUCAAUAGAAAAAGAGGGAGUCCUCCCUAACUCAUUUUAUGAGGCCAGCAUGAUCCUGAUACCAAAACCUGGCAGAGACACAACAAAAAAAGAGAAUUUUAGACCAAUAUCCCUGAUGAAUAUCUAUGCGAAAAUCCUCAAUAAAAUACUGGCAAACCGAAUCCAUCAGCACAUCAAAAAGCUUAUCCACCAAGAUCAAGUCGGCUUCAUCCCUGGGAUGCAAGGCUGGUUCAACAUGCUCAAAUCAAUAAACGUAAUCCAUCACAUGAACAGAACCAAAGACAAAAACCACAUGAUUAUCUCAAUAGAUGCAGAAAAGGUCUUUGACAAAAUUCAACAGCCCUUCAUGCUAAAAACUCUCAGUAAACUAGGUAUUGAUGGAACAUAUCUCAAAAUAAUAAGAGCUAUUUAUGACAAACCCACAGCCAAUAUCAUACUAAAUGGGCAAAAACUAGAAGCAUUCCCUUUGAAAACCGGCACAAGGCAGGGAUGCCCUCUCUCACCACUCCUAUUCAGCAUAGUGUUGGAAGUUCUGGCCAGGGCAAUCAGGCAAGAGGAAGAAAUAAAGGGUAUUCAAUUAGGAAAACAGGAAGUCAAAUUGUCUCUGUUUGUAGAUGACAUGAUUGUAUAUUUAGAAAUCCCCAUCGUCUCAGCCCAAAAUCCCCUUAAGCUAAUAAACAACUUCAGCAAAGUCUCAGGAUACAAAAUCAAUGUGCAAAAAUCACAAGCAUUCCUGUACGCCAAUAACAGACAAACAGCCAAAUCAUGAGUGAACUCCCAUUCACAAUUGCUACAAAGAGAAUAAAAUACCUAGGAAUCCAACUUGCAAGGUAUUUGAAGGACCUCUUCAGGGAGAACAAUAAACCACUGCCCAAUGAAAUAAAAGAGGACACAAACAAAUGGAAGAAUAUUCCAUGCUCAUGGAUAGGAAGAAUCAAUAUCGUGACAAUGGCCAUACUACCCAAGGUAAUUUAUAGAUUCAGUGCCAUCCCCAUCAAGCUACCAAUAACUUUCUUCACAGAAUUGGAAAAAACUACUUUAAAGUUCAUAUGGAACCAAAAAGAGCCCACAUUGCCAAGACAAUCCUAAGCAAAAGGAACAAAGCUGGAGGCAUCAUGCUACCUGACUUCAAACUAUACUACAAGCCUACAGUAACCAAAACAGCAUGAUACUGGUACCAAAACAGAGAAAUAGACCAAUGGAACAGAACAGAGGCCUCAGAAAUAACACCACACAUCUACAACCAUCUGAUCUUUGACAAACCUGACAAAAACAAGCAAUGGGGAAAGGAUUCCCUAUUUAAUAAAUGGUGUUGGGAAAACUGGCUAGCCCUAUGUAGAAAGCUGAAACUGGAUCCCUUCCUUACAUCUCAUACAAAAAUUAAUUCAAGAUGGAUGAAAGACUUAAAUGUUAGACCUAAAACCAUAAAAAUCCUAGAAGAAAACCUAGGCAAUACCAUUCAGGACAUAGGCAUGGGCAAGGACUCCAUGACUAAAACACCAAAAGCAAUGGCAACAAACGCCAAAAUAGACAAAUGGGAUCUAAUUAAACUAAAGAGCUUUUGCACAGCAAAAGAAACUAUCAUCAGAGUGAACAGGCAACCUACAGAAUGGGAGAAAAUUUUUGCAAUCUACCCAUCUGACAAAGGGCUAAUACCCAGAAUCUACAAAGAACUUAAACAAAUUUACAAGAAAAAAUCAAACAACCCCAUCAAAAAGUGGGCAAAGGAUAUGAACAGACACUUCUCAAAAGAAGAUAUUUAUGCAGCUGACAGACACAUGAAAAAAUGCUCAUCGUCACUGAAUGCUCAUGCAUUUCUCAUCAGAAAUGCAAAUCAAAACCACAAUGAGAUACCAUCUCACACCAGUUAGAAUGGCAAUCAUUAAAAAGUCAGGAAACAACAGGUGCUGGAGAGGAUGUGGAGAAAUAGGAACGCUUUUACACUGUUGGUGGGAGUGUAAACUAGUUCAACCAUUGUGGAACCCAGUGUGGUGAUUCCUCAAGGAUCUAGAACUAGAAAUAUCAUUUGACCCACCAUCCCAUUACUGGGUACAUACCCAAAGGAUCAUAAAUCAUGCUACUAUAAAGACACAUGCAACGUAUGUUUAUUGUGGCACUAUUCACAAUAGCAGAGACUUGGAACUAACCCAAAUGUCCAUCAAUGAUAGACUGGAUUAAGAAAAUGUGGCACAUAUACAUCAUGGAAUACUAUGCAGCCGUAAAAAAGGAUGAGUUAAUGUCAUUUGUAGGGACAUGGAUGAAGCUGGAAACCAUCAUUCUGAGCAAACUAUCGCAAGAACAGAAAACCAAACACCACAUGUUCUCACUUAUAGGUGGAAAUUGAACAAUGAGAACACUUGGACACAGGGCGGGGAACAUCACACACUGGGGUCUGGCAUGGGGUGGGGGUAUGGGGGAGGGAUAGCAUUAGGAGAAAUACCUAAUGUAAAUGACAAGUUAAUGGGUGCAGGAAACCAACAUGGCAUAUGUAUACCUAUGUAAAAAAAAACCCACAUGUUGUGCACAUGUACCCUGGAACUUAAAGUACUAAAAAAAAAAAAAAAACAAAAAGAAUAGUCUGACUCAUGUAGAGCUCUGGCAGUGGCUAAUUAAUUAUGGUGUUUCUAGAAGUUAAAUCGACAGGAAGCCUACUGCAUUUCUGCUUAAUUUAUAAAAGCAGAAAACUUCUAGGUCGAAUGGACAAAAUACUGAUUUGAAUUAUAAAAAGAGAGAAUCACAGCCCCUCAAUUUCCAGACUUGAGCCAGUUUACAGACCUGGAGCCCCUUGAAUGAAGGGGAGGCCAGGUACCCUUCAGGAAGGACCCCACUACGUUACCAACAAUUUAUGUAGUGAAUCUUUCACCCAUCCUUCUUCAAGGAGACCUCUGGCCUUUUACCAGGGUAACUGUGCACUGGGGAAAGGGAAAUGAUCAGAUAUUUGAGGAACUGUUGGACACUGGCUCUGAGCUCACAUUGAUUCCAGGGGACCCAAAACGUCAUUGUUGUCCUCCAAUUGAAGUAGGGUCUUAUGAAGAUCAGGUAAUUAAUGGAGUUUUAGCUCAGGUCUGACUUAACAUUGGGUGCGCUGGUUCCCUGGACUUAUCCUGUGGUCAUUUCCCCAGUGUCAGAAUGCAUAUUUGGCAUAGACAUCCUUAGCAGCUGGUAGAACCCCCACAUUGGCUUCCUGACUGGUAGGGUGAGGGCUAUUAUGGUGGCAAAGGUCAAAUCAAAGCCAUUAAAGCUGCCUCUACCUAGAAAAAUAGUAAAUCAAAAACAACAUCACAUCCCUGGAGGGACUGUGGAGAUUAGUGCCACCAUCAAAGAUUUGAAAGAUGCAGUGGUGGUGAUUCCCAAAACAUCCCUGUUCAACUUUCCCAUUUGGUCUGUGAAGAAGACAGAUGGGUCUUGGAGAAUGACAGUGGAUUAUUGUAAGCUUAACCAAGUGAUGACUCCAAUUGCAGCUGCUGUACAAGAUGCGGUUUCAUUGCUUGAGCAAAUUAACACAUCUCCGGGUACCUGGUAUGCCACCAUUGACUUGGCAAAUGCAUUUUUUUCCAUUCCUGUUCAUAAGGCCCACUAGAAGCAAUUUGCCUUCAGCUGGCAAGGCCAGCAAUAUGCUUUUACUGUCCUACCUCAGGGAUAUAUCAACUCUCUGGCUUUGUGGUAUAAUCUUUUUCGGAGAGACCUUGAUCGCUUUUUGCUUCCACGAGAUAUCACACUGGUCUAUUACAUUGAUGACAUUAUGCCGUUUGGAUCCAGUGAGCAAGAAGUAGUAAACUCACUGGACUUAUUGGUGAGACAUUUGUGUGCCAUAGGAUGAGAAAUAAAUCCGGGUAAAAUUCAGGGAACUUCCACCUCAGUAAAAUUUCUAGGAGUCCAGUGGUGUGGGGUCUGUCGAGACAUUCCUUCUAAGGUGAGGGUUACGUUGCUACAUUUGGCCCCUCCUACAACCCAGGCAGGGGCACAGUGCCUAGUGGGCCUAUUUGGAUUUUGCACACAACACAUUCCUCAUUUGGAUGUGUUACUCUGGCCCAUUUGUCAAGUGACCCAAAAUGCUGCCAGUUUUGAGUGGGGUCCAGAACAGAAGGCUCUACAGCAGAUCCAGGCUGCUGUGCAAACUGCUCUGCUACUUGGGCCAUAUGACCCAGCAGAUCCAAUGGUGCUUGAGGUGUCAGUGGCAGAUAGGGAUGCUGUUUGGAGCCUUUGGUAGGCCCCCAUAAGUGAAUCACAGAAGAGGCCUCUAGGAUUUUGGAGCAAGGCCCUGCCAUCUUCUGCAGAUAACUACUCUCCUUUUGAGAGACAGCUCUUGCCUGUCACUGGGCUUUGGUGGAAACUGAACAGUUGACUAUCGGUCAUCAAGUCAGCAUAGGACCUGAACUGCCUGUCAUGAACUGGGUGCUUUCUGACCCAUCUAGCCAUUAAGUGGGUUGUGCACAGCAGCAUACCAUCUCCAAAUGAAAGUGGUAUAUAACGUGAUUGGGCUCAAGCAGGUCCUGAAGGCACAAGUAAGUUACAUGAUGAAGUGGCUCAAAUGCCCAUGUUCUCCACUCCUGCCACCCUGCCUUCUCUCCCCCAGCCUGCACCAAUGGCCUCAUGGGGAGUUCCAUUUGCUCAGUUGACAGAGGAAGAGAAGAGAGGAAGAGAACUAGAGCCUGGUUCACAGAUGGUUCUACGUGAUAUGCAAGCACCACCUGAAAGUGGACAGCUGCAGCACUACAGCCCCUUUCUAGGACAUCCCUGAAGGACAAUGGUGAAGGGAAAUCUUCCUAGUGGGCAGAACUUUGAGCAAUGCACCUGGUUGUGCACUUUGCAUGGAAGGAGAAAUGGCCAGAUGUGUGAUUAUAUACUGAUUCAUGGGCUGUAGCCAGUGGUUUGGCUGGAUGAUCAGGGACUUGGAAGAAGCAUGAUUGGAAAAUUGGUGACAAAGACAUUUGGGGAAGAGGUAUGCAGAUGGACCUCUCUGAGUGGCCAAAAACUGUGAAGAUAUCUGUAUCCCACAUUUGUGCUCAUCAGUGGGUGACCUCAGCAGAGGAGGAUUUUAAUAAUCAAGUGGAUAGGAUGACCUGUUCUGUGGACACCACUCAGUCUCUUUCCCCAGCCACCCCUGUCAUCGCCCAAUGGGCCCAUGAACAAAGUGGCCAUAGUGGCAGGGAUGGAGGUUAUGCAUGGGCUCAGCAACAUCGACCUCCACUCACCAAGGCUGACCUGACUAUGGCCACUGCUGACUGCCCAAUUUGCCAGCAGCAGAGACCAGCGCUGAGCCCUCAAUAUGGCACCAUUCCUGGGGGUGAUCAGCCAGCUACCUGGUGGCAGGUUGAUUAUAUUGGACCUCUUCCAUCAUGAAAAGGGCAGAGGUUUGUCCUCAAUGGAAUAGACACUUACUCCAAAUAUGGGUUUGUCUAUCUUGCAUUCAAUGCUUCUGCCCAGACUACCAUCCAGGGAUUCACGGAAUACCUUAUCCACCAUCAUGGUAUUCCACACAGCAUUGCCUCUGACCAAAGCACUCACUUUAUGGCUAAAGAAGUGUGGCAGUGGGCUCCAUGCUCAUGAAAUUCACUGGUCUUACCACGUUCCCCAUCAUCCUGAAGCAGCUGGAUUGAUAGAAUGGAGGAAUGGCCUUUUGAAGUCACAAUUGCAAUGCCAACUAGGUGAAAAUACUUUGCAGGAUGGGGGCAAAGUUCUCCAGCAGGCCAUGUAUGCUCUGAAUCAGCGUUUAAUAUAUGGUACUGUUUCUCCCAUAGCCAGGACUCACAGGUCCAGGAAUCAAGAGGUGGAAGUGGAAGUGGCACCACUCACCAUCACCCCUAGUGAUCCACCAGCAAAAUUUUUGCUUCCUCUUCCCAUGACAUUACGUUCUGUUGGCCUAGAGGUCUUAGUUCCAGAGGGAGGAAUGCUGCCACCAGGAGACACAACAACAAUUCCAUUAAACUGGAAGUUAAGAUUGCCACCUGGACACUUUGGACUCCUGCUAUCUUUAAAUCAACAGGCUAAGAAGGGAGUUACAGUGUUGACUGAGAUGAUUGACCUGGACUAUCAAGAUGAAAUCAGUCUACUACUCCACAGCAGAGGUAAGGAAGAGUAAGCAUGGAAUACAGAAGAUCCAUUAGGACAUCUCUUAGUAUUACCAUGCCCUGUGAUUAAGGUCAAUGGGAAACUACAACAGCCCAAUUCAGGCAGGACUACAAAUGACCCAGACCCUUCAGGAAUGAAAGUUUGGGUCACUCCACCAGGGAAAAAACCACAGCCUGCUGAGGUGCUUGUUGAAGGCAAACGGAAUACAGAAUGAGUAGUAGAAGAAGGUGGUCAUCAAUACCAGCUACGACCACGUGACCAGCUGCAGAAACCAGGACUGUAAUUGUCAUGAGUAUUUACUCCUUCUUUUGUUAAAAACAUGUUUUUGCAUGUAUACACUUGUACUAAGAAAAUAUCUUUAUUUUGUUUCCUUUCUCCUUUAUCAUGUGAUGUAAGAUUUAUUGACUUGACAUCAACAUUUAAGUAUUGUUAACUUUAUGUAAUAGUAUUUGGGUUGGGGAUUGGUGUGUUUCCAGUUGUAUGAAGGAUAGUUAUGUUAGGCAUAAUUAUGACCUUAUUAUUGUCUUUAUUUGAAUAUUAUGUAUGAUCUCAGGAGAUGUGUAUGGGUUCAAGUUGACAAACGGUGGACUUGUGAUGGUUAAUACUGAGUGUCAACUUGAUUGGAUUGAAGGAUACCAAGUAUUCAUCCUGGGUGUAUCUGUGAGGGUAUUGCCAAAGGAGAUUAACAUUUGAGUCAGUGGGCUGGGCAAGGCAGACCCACCCUUAAUCAGGGUGGGUACCAUCUAAUCAGCUGCCAGCAUGGCUAGAAUAUAAUAAGCAGACAGAAAAUGUGAAAAAAGGUACUGGCCUAGCCUCCCAGCCUACAUCUUUCUGCCAUGCUGGAUGCUUCCUGCCCUUGAACAUCGGACUCCAAGUUCUUCAGUUCUGGAACUUGGACUGGCUCUUCUUCCUCCUCAGUCUGUAGAUGGCCUAUUCUGGGACCUUGUGAUCAUGUGAGUUAGUACUUAAUAAACUCAGA